CCCCACACACACACAGUUACAGAGAAAGACGGACUGAUGGACAGGCACAGCCCUAACAUGCUCAGGUCAUGGAAUCUCUCUCAACACUUUAGAAAAGCCUGCCCCAUCUCUAGAGGGCACAGCUGAUGGCUGUAUGGUCCCCACUCCUGGUGACUUUAACCCAGAGAUGCCUCGGGCUCUUUCAGAGCCGCCCAGGGGAGGGAGUGUGGUUCUCCGGCUUUGCAGAAUGGCAGUGGGAAAAUCAUAGUUCCCUCUGUUAGCAUCUACCCGGCAUCCCUCACCGGCAGCGUUGGGGUGGGAACAGUUCAGUGAGCCGUGUUUCACAAGGUGAACCCAGAAUCCCAAACCCAGGCUCCAUUUCCUGAAGCAGAACCCCAGACAUGGGUAGUGACUUGCCCAGGGCAGCUCAGCCAAUGCCCGGCAAAGCUGGGAUCCAGGCUUCUGAAUCACAGUUACAUCCCUAGUGCAGGCCUUUAGAGGGUAGUGGCUGUGUGCCGCGUAAUUCAUGCCCCCUCUGGAAGCUCUACCCUGGGUGACAUGGGCUUUCUAGGUGUCCUUAGGCUGCUGGCAUAGCCUAGGGAAAAUGAAUGUGGGCUCUGUGGCUCCCUGAAGCCCAGCGAGGAGGAGGAAGAGCCUGGUUGACCCAGGAGCCACUGAACAGGACCUUGUGGCCACAGCAGCUUCCACAAUAGUGCCUGACUGUCACCUAUAUGUCUGUGUGCUCAUGUGUGUGUGUGUGCGCGCGCGCGUGUGUGUGCUCACGCGUGUGUGCUAGCAGGGAAGGGGGGGAUGGUAAUCAGGCUUGCCUAUGGUCACGUGCCAAAACAAGGAUGUGUGAGACCCAGGCCAAUCAGUUUGGCUGUUGAAGAGCAGGUGCUUCCCGCCUGGGGGUGACAGACUUUGUCCCUCUAAGACUGCGGGUGCAGCAGCUGCCCCGGGGGAGUCCCAUCUAGUCCCUCCAGGAAGUGGUCCGCUCUGCUCUGAAGACCCCGGGAGGCCUGGCCGAGCCCUGCUCGGAAGUGAAGUGCCCAGAAACAUUAUCUGCUUGAGCGGCAGUCACCUUAGCAGGGGCACCACCUCAAUCCUGAAAGUUCCACCUGGGCCGGUUCAGAGCGGACAUCUCCCACACACACACACCAGGAGGAGGGUAGGAUAGGAGUCCAAAUAUGAGCAAGGGCUGGGAAGAGAUGUCUCUCAAAACCCUGGGAGUGAGGGGGCCUACAAAUGACUCGAUAAGCUGAUCUGCCAAGGGCUUGGAACAGGGCCGCUGGCUGGAAAUGUGGCCACAGACACUUGCUGACCCCCGUUGGUCUUCUCCAAAACAGGUGUGUCCCUUAGGUCCUCCCCGUCCUCCCCCUCCUCCUCCUGAGUGCUCCCAGCUGGCAGGUCCCAGCAGGAACCUCCGAAACAAAACCAAGAGAAAAUUGGCUGUGGAGGGGGAGGUGUUUACGUCUCUGGGCCUGAGCUGCAAAGUUGGGAAAUGGCAUUUAUACACAGGCUAAGCCGUUGAGAGGAGCAGGGCAGCAGGUCGUCCGCCCACCCUGGCCUGGUAGCGCUCUGUGUGCUGUGAACCUCCACGGUGCCACGUGUAGCUGUUUCCGGGAUUGUUUUGCACAGGGGCUGGGAAAAGCAAGGCAGAGCGCUGUCUCCGACUUCACAGCAGGGCCCUUUAGCAGUCGGGGCUGCUGGGGAGGCUGCAGGCUUGUUGCUCUGCCUUCCCUAGAGUGUGGCACUUGCCUUUGUAGUUGAAGAUCUUUGCUGUCCCUUGUCCCCAGGCGCCUAAAUCCAGCAGAGGAGUUGGGGACCCCAGAGGACAGCCCGGGAUUUCGUGGGGAGCUGGGAAGUGAAUUCUAAGACAACUAGGAGUCAGCCAUAGAUACCUCUGACGUGCGGCAACUCCUUUUGGUGGCAGUGAGCUCACAAUGAGGCCGUGGGCUCCGUGUCUCAUGGGAAGGGGGCUCUGGACCCUCAGCAGGGCAAGAGGCGCCCAGCCUGAAGGGGGCGGGGUGGAGAAGGUGUGGGGUGCCCCCUGGCGGCCAGGCUUCGGCCCUGCCCGAGUGUGCCGGCUGCCCUCGUUGGUGCCCACGUGUUCUUGCUGAUCUGCCAGGAACACCCGCCUUCAGGCCUCAUGUGUGAACUCCCUGCAAACACCCUGCUCCCCUGGAGAGGUCAGAGCAGAUGUUCAUCCGAGUGUCUGCCACAUGCGGCUUACGGCCGGCUUGGUAGUGCUCUCGGAGGCCAGAGAGGGCUGCACCGCUCUACUCCCUGAGGUUCCCUCCGGAAACUUGGGGUUAAGAAGUGCAAAAUCACCCCAUAACGACAACUACAUCCCACUGCACUGAAUGGGUCCACUCACCCAUUCUUCCCUGUCUGCUUGCGUGGACACGGCCCUCGCUUGGGCAUCCAGCAGGCCCGAAGAGGCCCCUCUUUAUGAGACAGGUCUGUUGAAGGUUGUGGUGACAGCCACCAGCACAAGGGACAGAAGCCCACGCACAGGGGACAGAAACCCACUCACAAGUCCCCCUCAUCCCUGCACAGCAACUGCCUGGUGAACCUUUGCGUCCACAGCCACGCCACUCCUUUCACAGGGCAGGGCUGCAGGCCACAAUGAGACCCUCAUGAGUGUCACCGUCCUGAUGUUAAGGCCCUGAGUGGCGAGAUGGUACCUAGGCGGCCUCCAGUGUGGGCUGAGGUGGGAGGAGAAAAUGCCGCUCUGCCCAGCUCUGAGCCCAUUCCUGCAGGUGAAGCGGGUGCAGACACGGUCUGGACCUCAAGUCUGUGUGAGUCCACAGCCCCCUCCACACUGAGCUGGCAGAGAGCUGCGGCCGGGAGUGUUAAACUUACGCAAGGCCAUCCAGCACGAAGGCAAAGGCAGACUCACCACUCAGUCUCAAGCCCUGCCUGCAGAAACUCAGCACACCAUUUGCCCAGGGCCAGAUCAAUGGUCUCCCCGCCCCCACCAUACUCUCAGGAAGUUCAGACCCCUGAUUUAAAAACUGUAGGGGAGAGGAAAGAAUGUCCCCGGAGGGCUGAGGUCCUAGAAGGGUCUCCCUAGGGCUCAGCGAUGCGGAAGCCUGUGCCGGCUGAUCCGAAAUUCCCCUGCCUACGGGUGUUUCCUUGUUAUGGGCUGCGGUCCACAUUCCUGGUUUGGAAGAAUCACCCAUGAUGCCCCAGGCGGCUUUUCAAACAUCUUCACCAACUCAUCUUCUCUUGCCAGGAGAUGGUGGAGGGCCAAAUACGAAGAUGAACGAAGUCACCGAAAGUUCCACAGUCAACUUGGAUGCGUCAUCAGGGUAUUGUCGCCUUAUGUCACUGAAAUAUGUCCUGGGAGGGAAAAGGAAGUGCACUGUGGACCCUGCUGACUUGAAUAAUUCAGUUCUUUUCUGGCUGCCCUGAGCACGAGACCUUGAUGGCAGGAGAGUGGUUUCUGGUGAGCCUGUGACUGAACGAU